rnacentral:lncRNA from 1 species
UCAGACACAAAGGGGACAGGACUGGGGAAUUUGAGAAAUGGGGGCGGGCAUUUGAAACAGAUGGUUAUUGGAGGCUGAUUUGAGAAGGUGGUCUGGAUCCAAGAGAAUCAACCUCCAGUCACAGAAGGUAUCUGAAAAGGUACUGAUUUAGCUUGGGAUUCUACUACCUGGGCUAUAAUCAGUAAAAGCAAAGAGGGUUCUUCCCUGUAGCACCAGAUCUAUAUGGCAGGCAAGUUAUUCUGGGUCAUUCUUAGGCAGGAUGUAACAAGGGAUGUGCAGAAUGAAUGAAAGUUGAUUCAUGAUGGAGGUACUGUCACAGGAACAAUUCCCCAGUGAUAUUCUUAUGCCCAAAUGAGAAUCUUUAUUUGAACAUGCUAUGGCUGAUGACAAUCACAUCUUUUGUUUCUAUGACAACACAGAUUUCUGUUUCUUUUCCCAUCCCUCUGCCUCUUCUCAGUCUACUUCACUCUAUCUUUAUGUGUUCCCAAGGGAUCCAUUUGUGGCCCUCUUUCCAUCACACUUGUUCCACUACUUACAUAUGUAUACCAGCAAUAAAUAAAUACCUCCCUUUCCCCCUCUUCUGAAAAUUCUACAGUUAUGUAAUCAAGUACCUGCCAGAAAUCUUCACCUGCAUUUCCUAAAGGCACUUGAAAUUAAAACCAUCAUAUCUAAAAUUAAACUCAUACUCUCCAGUCUUUUCCCAUUCCUCCUGAGCAAAUUUGCCUUUCUCCUGUAUUUCUCUUCAUAUUUUCUCACAUUACUAUCUGCUAAGGAGUGACUUGUGUCUUCCCAAAAUUCACAGGUUGAAGCUAUAGCCCCAAAGUGAUGGUAUUUGUAGGUGGAGCCUUUGGGAGAUAAUCAGGGUUAGAUGAGGUCAUGAGGGUGUGGCCCUAUUGAUGAGAUUAAUGCCUUUAAAAGAAGAGCCUCCAGGGUGCUUGCUCUCUUCCUUCCUGUACAUAAAACAAGAGGUCAUAUGAGCACAGAGCAGUCACCUACAAGAAAGGAUCCUACUCUGUCAGCACCUUGAUCUUGGACUUUGCAGCCUCCAGAACUCUGAGGAAUAAAUUUCUGGUAUGGCAGCGCAAGAAGAAUGUAACCCCACACAAGCCUUUAUGUGUCCUCCAUUUCUUGUUUUUAGGGAAUACGCUUCAGCCUCCAAGGCCUUCUAUGAGUUCCAAAGGUAAGUAGCUAGUCAGGGAAGUGAGACCAGGGAGGAGAAGUCAAGAGUGCAGCCUUGGGGCAAGGUCCUGGUUCCUCCUCAAGGAAUACUUAUAACAAUAUCUUCAAGCCUUUUCUGCAGAAUUAAAACACCCAACAAAUGGAAGAGCUACUUGAUGAAGCAUUCUUCAUUCCAGGAAGAAGGAGGACCACCAGAACCAGUCUAAGGCCACUAAACACCAGCUUUGAAAGACAAUCCAAGGUUGUCUCUACCCUGUUCCUUAUCUGCAGCCCUAUUUUCCAAUCCCCAAACCAUAACACCAUCCCCUAAUCUCUUCCAAAGGGGGCAGAGUCUUGAAGGCAUUAGCUUGACUUGGGCCCCUUUGCCUGGCAAAGCAAUAAAACUAUCUUUUUCUCCUUUAUCCAAAACUCUGUCUUUGAGUUUCUAUUCUGCACCAGUGGACAGAAGCUGAGUUUCAGCAACAAGAUUGAUAUGUUGUUUAUCCAAUCAUCCAAGACAGAGACAAAAUAUUAAUUUCAGGGCCUUUCUUUUCAACUACCUUCAAUAUUUAAUCAACUUUGACAUUCUCAUGCACCGUUUUAUCUCCCUGACUUUCAAAUAUGUCCUCCUUUCUCUGAUUCGACUGCCUCUCCUCUACUUCAAGCCAUACCGUAUCUUAUCUGGACUAUUUAAACAACCUCAUUCAUGAUGUGAGCUGGAGUUCUGCACUUGCCAUCUGCCUCUACAUGGAUUCAGCCAUGAGCCACAGCAGCUGCCAACCUGCAGCACCCCCUGAGUGGAGGUCAGGAUGGAGACCAGGAGUGAGGCAUUCUGUGCUCUGGAAAAACUGGAAGAACAGGUCUUCAGAUAAUUAGAAAUUUUUAGGAGAAGAUUUUAUGAGCCCAAUUCUUGCAUCUCCUCCUAUCUAGAAAAACACAAAUCCUUCAUGAGACCAGCAGCAAACUUCUGUAAAAUGUGUGCAUGGCUGAAAUACUGCCUCCUGGGCUAUAGAGCUAAGUGGCCAAAACAAAAGACGUCACAGUCAUCUCUGAAGGCAGUCACUCCCAAGGGUGGGCCAAUGAGCCCUGAGGGAACUCAGUAAAGCAACAAGGAAUAUUGGCCCAUAGCUUAAGUACAUAUCAAAGGAGUGAUUCCAUUAAGCCCAGACCUUUACAUCUUCCCACAGAAACUAGUUUUCUGUAAAUCUUUUGUUUCUACUACCUUCUCCUUGUUGCAAAAACACCUAUAUACUAGCUCUCCCCUUCUCAGAGCAGUUUCUCAGGGUGACCUGAGAUGGCUCUCUCCAGGGUUUAAGUUCUAAUUUUACCCCAAUUAAAACUUAAACUCUCAACUUUCAGGUUAUGCAUUUUUUUUUUUUUAAGCUGACAACUUUUAGACGGUCUACCUCUUUUUUUUUUUUUGGUCUUUUUGCCUUUUCUAGGGCUGCUUCCACAGCAUACGGAGAUUCCCAGGCUAGGGGUGUAAUCGGAGCUGUAGCCACCAGCCUACGCCAAAGACACUGCAAGGCGGGAUCCUGGCCGAGUCUGCAACCUACACCACAGCUCACAGCAACGACGGAUCCUUAACCCACUGAGCAAGGCCAGGGACCGAACCCACAACCUCAUGGUUCCUUGUCGGAUUCAUUAACCACUGCGCCACAUGGGAACUCUAGACUGUCUAUCUCUUUAACAGUCCCAUCUCCACAACUGUCACUUCUCCACAGUUAUACCCACAGUAAUACCACAUUGAUCCUUCCAAAGUGCAAAUUUGACCGUG